UGCAUUGAAAAUAAGAUGUUUUAGAUGUUAAUUAAUUUUAUCUUGUGUUUUGCUUAAAGUUUAAUCAAAUGGUCAUCUUAUUUUAUGCUUACCUUGACUUGGAUUUCAUGGUUAUAUUGGUUAAAUGGUCGACUUGACAAAAUUGGCCAUUUUGAUUGGUCAAACAUUGCUCUGGUCUCACAAGUUUGAUUAUUUUUUCAUGAUUUCCAGAUUUGUAAUCUUCCAUGAUGGCUACAAAAUGGAUUGAAAAUGGAUUAAACACCUUUUUCUUUAAAUGAACAGAUUUACCUGGAUCAGCCUGGUCAACAUUACCACUAUCAUCGUCAGCUGAACAUUGGACAACCAGGGAUAGCCAUCCGGCCCAUAAUAGCGAGUACAAAAGCUUCAUUACGGAAUAUACACAGAGUUAAGAUGGAUCAACGAGAUAAUUGGAUAAAUACUCUUGAAACAAAGAUUCACUUGGUGUUAAUCGAUACUUAAACUAACUCUAAUUGUGUAGACUGGAUGGAAACUCACUCAUUUCAGUUGCAACUCAUAAAUCAUUGCCAUUGGUGCGGUGAAACUCGGACGACUUUCCUUGUUUCAACAUGGAGAUGCAAACCAAUGCCUAUUACUGAUUUCAUUACCUCAAUGGAUGCUCUUUAGCUAUCUAAAGUUAAUCAACAAAUUUCAACCGUUGACCAAAUCAAAAACAAGCCAACACAGAACCUUGGUCAAUCAGCUUGUCAUGAUUCUUAACAGAGUUAAUUAUCCCAUGAGAAUUGAGAACCGUCCGCAGAUGCAACUGGAUAUAGGAACAAAGAUUAAUUACCUUUACCACAAUUAUUAAGGUUCCUUGGUUCAUCCCACCAAUUUCAACUUUCCUCCAUUUUCAUACUUUUACAAUCUAAUGAAUCACGAUUAAUUAAUGUAUUAAUUGAGUUGUAAUUGAAAAAAAGAAAGGGAAAUUUAUUUUCAAUUUCAACCAUUUAAUCCAAGAGAUGGGUCAGAGAUGGCAUAAAAAGCGACAUGAGGAAAGGACAGAAAAGGUAUUGACAGACUGAAAGUGAAGUCAAUGAGUUUAAUGAAUUGUCUUCUUGUUUACCUUUCCAAGUUAACAUUACCAGCCAUAUUAAUAAUGAAUAUUAUCAUUAUUAUUAUUUGUUAAAGGCAUCAUCAGUCAACCAUCAAUGAUUCCCUUAAUUAUAACCAUUCAACAAGUUUAUAAGUAAAUGAGGUUAAUGUCCGUUAAUGUUUAACUUUUCCAGUUUCUUGUUAAUCAAAUUUUCUUGCAUUGAAUUACCAGAAGUAGCAGGCAAAGAAGAAGACCAAAUGAGCUUAAAUAAACCGCAAUUAACUCACCAUCUAGAAUCAAAAAGAGGACACAAUAGUCACUUAAUAUGAAUAAUUUGAUAAGAAUAAGAUGUAUAAUUAAGUUGAAGGGCGCCGUUGAAUGUAGUCAAUAUAAUUAACAUCGUUAGCAUAUUUAAUUUGAUGGUCGAAAACCAUAAUCACAAUUUCAAUGGUUAACCUUAAAAACCUCCAUCUCACAAAAACCUUUUUACAGUAGCAAUCAAGACGCUCCUUUUAUUUCUUACCUGUAUUUGUUGUACUUUCAUCAACAUCAUUUCCUCUCAUCAUUUGUCAUCAUCAUUAUCAACAUCUCUCAACACUGGUUUAAUUAAAUUACCAACCUGAUUGAAUGCGAAAAGCCAAUUGUUUGCAUUUAAUGUUAAGGUGUGUGGGAAUCGCUAUUACUCUUUCCUUUGCUCAUUACAAGUCUGAUUGUGUCCAUUGAUGAAACAAGGAAACUAUCCAUAAUUAAAAAGGAUCAUUUUAAUGUUUCCAGCUGAAGGGUUUGCCAUUUUAGAGCUAAUUGUUAAUCAUUUGCGACUUGAAAUGGUCACUUUGGUCAACAACUAGACUUUGGGUUAACACGCUUUUGCAUGUCUAAACCAUUUUACUUGGAAACAUUUUUCUACCUUUGCGGUAAUUUUGCUAUUUCAACAAAAUCUUUUUUUUCUCAGCUAUAUUUUUAAUCAUUUUGUGUUUUAAUUUCAAGUCAACCUUAUUAACUUGUAACUGUAUUGAAAUAAUCAAAACUUAUUAACAUUUACAUUUAUAAUUA